AACGAACGCUGGCGGCAUGCCUAACACAUGCAAGUCGAACGAAGGCUUCGGCCUUAGUGGCGCACGGGUGCGUAACGCGUGGGAAUCUGCCCUUAGGUACGGAAUAACUCAGGGAAACUUGAGCUAAUACCGUAUAAUGACUUCGGUCCAAAGAUUUAUCGCCUGAGGAUGAGCCCGCGUCGGAUUAGCUAGUUGGUGAGGUAAAAGCUCACCAAGGCGACGAUCCGUAGCUGGUCUGAGAGGAUGAUCAGCCACACUGGGACUGAGACACGGCCCAGACUCCUACGGGAGGCAGCAGUGGGGAAUAUUGGACAAUGGGCGAAAGCCUGAUCCAGCAAUGCCGCGUGAGUGAUGAAGGCCUUAGGGUUGUAAAGCUCUUUUACCCGGGAUGAUAAUGACAGUACCGGGUGAAUAAGCCCCGGCUAACUCCGUGCCAGCCGCCGCCGUAA
rnacentral:rRNA from 1 species